GGAGGCUGGCACCCCUCCACCUGCCAGGACCCUGCUACAGCUUAUGAAUGUGCACUCUGCUGUGCUGCUGCUGUUCCUGGCACAUGCAGUUGAGGACAGAUGCUGCUGCUACAACCUUACCAAGCACUGUGGCUGGAAUUACUCAUUAGAGUGUUCUGUUAAAAGGCACAGGGUGGCAAUUUGGAUAAAGAAGGAAAACCCAAUGGUACGCUGUCUUCAAGAAACCCAUCUCACAUGCAAUGACACUCAUAGUGUGUCUGGAAUUGGUGGGUUCUUGGUCUCACUGACUUCAAGAAUGAAGCCGCGGACCCUCGUGGUGAGUGUUACAGCUCUUAAGGUGGCAAGUCUGGAGUUUGUUCCUUCUGAUGUUCGGAUGUGUUCGGAGUUUCUUCCUUCUGGUGGGUUCGUGGUCUCGCUGGCUCAGGAGUGAAGCUGCAGACCUUCGCGGUGAGUGUUACAGCUCUUAAGGCAGCACGUCUGGAGUUGUUCGUUCCUCCUGGUGGGCUCGUGGUCUCACUGGCUUCAGGAGAGAAGCUGCAGAUCUUCGCGGUGAGUGUUACAGCUCAUAAAAGCAGUGUGGACCCAAAGAGUGGGCAGUAGCAAGAUUUAUUGCAAAGAGUGAAAGAACAAAGCUUCCACAGUGUGGAAAGGGGACCCAAGCGGGUUGCCACUGCUGGCUCGGGCAGCCUGCUUUUUUUCUCUUAUCUGGCCCCACCCACGUCCUGCUGAUUGGUAGAGCCCAGUGGUCUGUUUUGACAGGGCGCUGAUUGGUGCGUUUACAAUCCCUGAGCUAGAUACAAAGGUUCUCCACCUCCCCAUCAGAUUAGUUAGAUACAGAGUAUUGACACAAAGGUUCUCCAAGGCCGCACCAGAGCAGCUAGAUACAGAGUGUCGAUUGGUGCACUCACAAACCCUGAGCUAGACACAGGGUGCUGAUUGGUGUGUUUACAAACCUUGAGCUAGAUACAGAGUGCCUAUUGGUGUAUUUACAAUACCUGAGCUAGACAUAAAGGUCUUCCAAGGUGCCACCAGACUUAGGAGCCCAGCUGGCUUCACCCAGUGAAUCCCACACCGGGGUUGCAGGUGGAGCUGCCUGCCAGUCCCAGUGCCGUGCGCCCACACUCCUCAUCCCUUGGGUGGUCGAUGGGACUGGGCACCGUGGAGCAGGGGGCGGCACUCAUCGGGGAGGCUUGGGCUGCCCAGGAACCCACGGAGUGAGUGGGAGGCUCAGGCAUGGUGAGCUGCAGGUCCCGAGCCCUGCCCCGCAGGAAGGUAGCUAAGGCUCGGUGAGAAAUCAAGCGCAGCACCUGUGGGCUGGCACUGCUGGGGGACCCAGUAUACCCUCUGCAGCUGCUGGCCCGGGUGCUAAGUCCCUCAUUGCCUGGGGCCAGCAGGGCCGGCCGACUGCUCCAAGUGCGUGGCCCGCCAAGCCCAUGCCCGCCUGGAACUCCAGCUGGCCCGCAAGCGCCGCACGCAGCCCCGGUUCCCACUCGCGCCUCUCCCUCCACACCUCCCUGCAAGCUGAGGGAGUGAGCUCCAGCCUUGGCCAGCCCAGAAAGGGGCUCCCACAGUGCAGUGGUGGGCUGAAGGGCUCAAGUGCCACCAAAGAGGGAGC
rnacentral:lncRNA from 1 species